rnacentral:rRNA from 1 species
UGGGGAAUAUUGGACAAUGGGCGAAAGCCUGAUCCAGCCAUGCCGCGUGUGUGAAGAAGGUCUUCGGAUUGUAAAGCACUUUAAGUUGGGAGGAAGGGCAGUAAGCGAAUACCUUGCUGUUUUGACGUUACCGACAGAAUAAGCACCGGCUAACUCUGUGCCAUCAGCCGCGGUAAUACAGAGGGUGCAAGCGUUAAUCGGAAUUACUGGGCGUAAAGCGCGCGUAGGUGGUUCGUUAAGUUGAAUGUGAAAGCCCCGGGCUCAACCUGAGAACUGCAUCCAAAACUGUCGAGCUAGAGUAGGGCAGAGGGUGGUGGAAUUUCCUGUGUAGCGGUGAAAUGCGUAGAUAUAGGAAGGAACACCAGUUGCGAAGGCGACCACCUGGGCUCAUACUGACACUGAGGUGCGAAAGCGUGGGGAGCAAACAGG